rnacentral:rRNA from 1 species
GAUGAACGCUGGCGGCGUGCCUAAUACAUGCAAGUCGAGCGAACGGACGAGAAGCUUGCUUCUCUGAUGUUAGCGGCGGACGGGUGAGUAACACGUGGAUAACCUACCUAUAAGACUGGGAUAACUUCGGGAAACCGGAGCUAAUACCGGAUAAUAUUUUGAACCGCAUGGUUCAAAAGUGAAAGACGGUCUUGCUGUCACUUAUAGAUGGAUCCGCGCUGCAUUAGCUAGUUGGUAAGGUAACGGCUUACCAAGGCAACGAUGCAUAGCCGACCUGAGAGGGUGAUCGGCCACACUGGAACUGAGACACGGUCCAGACUCCUACGGGAGGCGGCAGUAGGGAAUCUUCCGCAAUGGGCGAAAGCCUGACGGAGCAACGCCGCGUGAGUGAUGAAGGUCUUCGGAUCGUAAAACUCUGUUAUUAGGGAAGAACAUAUGUGUAAGUAACUGUGCACAUCUUGACGGUACCUAAUCAGAAAGCCACGGCUAACUACGUGCCAGCAGCCGCGGUAAUACGUAGGUGGCAAGCGUUAUCCGGAAUUAUUGGGCGUAAAGCGCGCGUAGGCGGUUUUUUAAGUCUGAUGUGAAAGCCCACGGCUCAACCGUGGAGGGUCAUUGGAAACUGGAAAACUUGAGUGCAGAAGAGGAAAGUGGAAUUCCAUGUGUAGCGGUGAAAUGCGCAGAGAUAUGGAGGAACACCAGUGGCGAAGGCGACUUUCUGGUCUGUAACUGACGCUGAUGUGCGAAAGCGUGGGGAUCAAACAGGAUUAGAUACCCUGGUAGCCCACGCCGUGAACGAUGAGUGCUAAGUGUUAGGGGGUUUCCGCCCCUUAGUGCUGCAGCUAACGCAUUAAGCACUCCGCCUGGGGAGUACGACCGCAAGGUUGAAACUCAAAGGAAUUGACGGGGACCCGCACAAGCGGUGGAGCAUGUGGUUUAAUUCGAAGCAACGCGAAGAACCUUACCAAAUCUUGACAUCCUUUGACAACUCUAGAGAUAGAGCCUUCCCCUUCGGGGGACAAAGUGACAGGUGGUGCAUGGUUGUCGUCAGCUCGUGUCGUGAGAUGUUGGGUUAAGUCCCGCAACGAGCGCAACCCUUAAGCUUAGUUGCCAUCAUUAAGUUGGGCACUCUAAGUUGACUGCCGGUGACAAACCGGAGGAAGGUGGGGAUGACGUCAAAUCAUCAUGCCCCUUAUGAUUUGGGCUACACACGUGCUACAAUGGACAAUACAAAGGGCAGCGAAACCGCGAGGUCAAGCAAAUCCCAUAAAGUUGUUCUCAGUUCGGAUUGUAGUCUGCAACUCGACUACAUGAAGCUGGAAUCGCUAGUAAUCGUAGAUCAGCAUGCUACGGUGAAUACGUUCCCGGGUCU